rnacentral:piRNA from 1 species
UGUAAGCCUUAGCUAAUGUAAUGCCUG